AGAGGGUGCAAGCGUUAAUCGGAAUUACUGGGCGUAAAGCGUGCGUAGUCGGUUAUUUAAGUCGGGUGUGAAAUCCCCGGGCUCAACCUGGGAAUUGCAUUCGAUACUGGAUAGCUAGAGUUCGGCAGAGGGAAGCGGAAUUUCCGGUGUAGCGGUGAAAUGCGUAGAUAUCGGAAGGAACAUCAGUGGCGAAAGCGGCUUCCUGGACCAGAACUGACGAUCAGGCACGAAAGCGUGGGGAGCAAACAGGAUUAGAUACCCUGGUAGUCCACGCCAUAAACGAUGACAACUAGACGUUGGGAGGGUAAGCCUCACAGUGUCGCAGCUAACGCGUUAAGUUGUCCGCCUGGGGAGUACGGCCGCAAGGUUGAA
rnacentral:rRNA from 1 species